rnacentral:rRNA from 1 species
UACGUAGGGGUCUAGCGUUGUCCGGAAUCAUUGGGCGUAAAGAGCUCGUAGGCGGUUCGGCAAGUCGGAUGUGAAAUCUCCACGCUCAACGUGGAGGGGCCAUUCGAAGCUGCCGUGACUCGAGUCCGGUAGGGGAGUGCGGAAUUCCCGGUGUAGCGGUGAAAUGCGCAGAUAUCAGGAGGAACACCAGCGGCGAAGGCGGCGCUCUGGGCCGGUACUGACGCUGAGGAGCGAAAGCGUGGGGAGCAAACAGG